ensembl:lncRNA LINC00299 long intergenic non-protein coding RNA 299
GACACUGAGCUAGGGUGGCCAUGCCUCGCCCUGACCUCAGGCCCAUGGGCCCCGUGGAUGAGCAGGGGCAUGCAGGACAGGCCUGCAGGGCAGGGCAGGGCAGUAGGGUUUUCAUCGGCAAAGCCCCGUGAUCCUCACAGUAGCCCCAGGAGUUGGACCAGCCUGGACCCUUACCCCAUUUUACAGCCAGAAACAAGAUAAGCGCCUUGCAGGGGCCCUUAACUGACUGCUGGGUUCGAUGGUUCAAAGAGAAAAAGCACGUGAUAACUUUGAAGGAGGCUGCCUGGCUGAGCUGAUCGGAUCACCUAGAGACUGGAAAUGCUUUCUGGCAGUGCCUGAUCCUCUACUGGGUGUUCAACACUGGCUGCAUUUAUGGAGACCACAGACAAAAGAUGGAAACAGCCUCCACCGGCAUGGGGAUCAGGCAUGGGGCAAACACAGGAGACAAAACAGUCUGAAGUCACCUGCCCUAUCUGGACAUUCCAUAGACUACCACUUUUACCCACGACUUCGAUGUGGCAUGCUCAUUGGACCAGAUAAGCAAGCAGUGGCAAGUGGAUUGGAGGUCUUGGUAACCAGUUCAACCAAAAUCCUGGGACAGCUGUUCCCUGAUGCGGCACACUUCCUAGAAGAAGCAAGUGAAUUUAAAGCAGAGUGAACUGUAGAGGAGUUCACGACCAAAUCUCUGAUGCUUUCCCCAGAUCUUUCUUCAGGGCCAACACAUCCAUUGCUCAGCUGUGAUAGACAGCAGUCAGGGGUGGCUCACCUCUCUCACUGGGAAUUGCUCUCAGCAGUAGGGAACUCAUUCAGGGUUAAGGCAUCUCCUUGAGGAGGCCCAUGUUCAAUUACUGGUUGACACAGGAAUAUGAAGGCCUGGCCCUCGUCUCAGCUUGGAAUAAAUCUGAAGGCCCAUCACAGCUUCAGAGAUGCUUGGAGAAGGCUGAGGUCUCCCCUGUAACCUUAUGAGAACCUUGAGUUGUUGAACUCAUUAAUUCUUUGGGACCAUCUUCCUGAUGUUCAAGUUUGUGAAACAGGCUUUCCCUUUAAGAUUUGUUUUCCUCAAAAUACAAGACUAUUGAUGCUUCAGUUUUGAAGUGGAUUCUGCACUCAAGAAAUGUACCAUUGAAGAAUGGGACUGGUAGGAAGGGAAAAAAACUAAAAGGAAACGCAUUUUCGAGUUGCACAUCAUGAUCAGGCACAGAGUCCAGAUACACUUGGAGUAGCAAGCAUCCAUCCUUGUGGAGACGCACAUGAACCAGGACUCUCUGCACCCACCCCUCUCAAGUUUUAUUUUCCGACGGCUGUAAUGUUCCAGGACACCUGCCAUCAUGGAGGGUUAUCCAGCACCUGGAGGAUACCUGCUACCUGGUGAAGGACUUUAGUACGAUGGUCAAGACAAGAACCGUGGAGUCAGAAUGCCUGCAUGCAGAUCUCAUCACCAUGGAGUCUCGCUCUGUUGCCCAGGCUGGAGUGCAGGGGUGUGAUCUCAGUUCGCUGCAACCUCUGCCUCCCAGGUUCAAGUGAUUCUUCUGCCUCAUCCUCCUGAGUCGCUGGGAUUACAGGUGUGAGGUAUCAUGCCUGGCCCAAGAUUUACUUUAUUUGAUAUUAAUAUAGCCACAUCUGCUUACUUUUAAAAUUAAUGUCUGCAUGGCAUAUUAUUGCUAUUCCUUAAUUUCCAAUUUACCUCUAUCAUUAUAGCUUACCCACUGAUGUAGCUUUAGCAGCUGCUGUCCCAGUUCUCAAAUAUCCAGGCUAGCUUGGUGGCCCCUUUAUCCAUGGGUCAUUUAUUUAAUCCAAUCUGCCAAUCCCUGCCUUUAAUUAGUGUUUUUAAACCAUUUACAUUUAAUGUAAUUAUUCAUAGUUUAAUCUGAUGUCUGUUAUUUUAUUUUUUGUCUUCUCCUUAUUUUCUGUUUCUUUUUUGCUCUUGUCUUUCUUGUCUUGUUUUUUCUCUUCCCUUUAACAUUUUUUAGAUCUCCUUUUGAUUAAUUUAUAGAGUUUUUGAUUAUAUCUCUUUGUAUGAACUUUUUAGUUAUUGCUCAAAUAUCACAUUUUAUAUUUAUAACACAGGCUACUGAUGUUGACAUUUUAACAGUUCAAGUGAAGUGUAGAAAUCUUACCCAUUAUCCCUCCCUAUUAAUAAUAUAAUUGUCUUAAAUGUCUUUUCCUACAUAUAUUUAUAACAAGUAUAUGAGAUAGCCUUACAAUUUUUGCUUUAACUAUCAAUCAUGCAUUAGGAAACUCAAGAAGAAAGGGAAAUGUAUUUAAUUCAUAUUUUCACUCUUUUUAAAAUGAAUUUCAUAAAAUCUAGAUUGGCAAAUUUAGAAAUAAAAUUUCUAAAUGUU